CUCGAGCUCAUUUGUAAAAGGACGGAGGCCUCGCAGCUCCGCGGUCGGGCAGACCAGUGAUUACUGAAAGUGCAACUGAAAAGUCUGGGUUCAGGUGUGGGACCAGUGUGCAGCGCACUGCAGUUCCAGAAAUCACUUCCACUACCAGAUGCAACCCGUAUUUCUCCUUUUGCCGCCACGUGUGCCGCCACCGCGGAGUUGGAUUCACGCACGCGCUGGUAAUUUUAAAUGAACGCGCUGCGAGAAAACGACGUUCAUUCAAGAAGAAUAGUUUAUUUGUCAAAUUCUCCAGCCUGAUGGAAAGCGGUACAGUACAUUGGGUGUUGAUCUGUUCAUGCUAUCAGAUGGUACAGCAGGUCAGACCCACUACAGUAUGCAACAGGGUAACGAGUUACUUGUGACAUACAGUCAAUACAGUACUUUUUGUCAGUUAAUCAGCUGAGCAAACACAGGAGAAAGGAUCUUAUUUAAAUCCCUGUGCGCUGGGUUAGCUCUACAGGAAUGUAGUAGUGCGUGUGUGGGUCGUCUCAGUCGUCCACGGCGAUGUUGCGGAACAGAUAAGCCAUGGACUCGCCGUUGUGGAUGCGCCGGAUGGCCUCGGCCAGGAUCAUGCUCACGUCCACCGUUUUGAUUUUUGGACACUGCAGCUUCUGCACCUCAUGAGGAACCGUGUUGGUCACCACCACCUGCGGGCGCACAGCAGCAGCAUUAGUGCAGCCGCUUUAGGACUGUGCCUACACGCGUCUAGGCUUUCAGGCGGACGAGUAAUCAGGACCCAGGCUAAAAGGUGGCAUAUUGAAAUUCUAAUUGUAAGUCAACCCCAAACCUAAAUGCCUUAAUUAUUUACUAUGUGAAAGCAUCACCUGCAUUCAUAAAUAAUUAAGACUAGUCCUCAUAUUGUCAUAUCUUACCAAUAAAACUAUUGAGAGGCUACAAAACCAUGUGACAAGGUUCACAAUAGAUAAAAUCAUGAAUGAACAGAAAAACUGAUCUGAAAUGUGCAAAAAAUAAAUUAUAUUAAAGUGUG